rnacentral:lncRNA from 1 species
GGGUAUUAUGGAAACGUACCUAGGCAUUAGUAAAACUGGGUGGCUGGCGUUUGGAUGUACAAAAACACACAGCAGAUUUUGGAUCAUAUAGGAAUGCUGGGGUAUGCAUACUUGAAGAAAAAAGACGAAGACGGACAUGGAGAUGCAGACCAAGCAAAAUGUGCGUUUCUCUUUAUGAUGAACAGACAAUGCAAUGGUUUAGUGGAUGGUGCAGCUAUGGUACAUGGUAUUGACUACAGCACGUGCGUGGAUGUCAUGUUGUAGAUUUCACAGUGGUUAAGUGGAUGCUGCAACUUGAUCCUUUUACUGAGUAAUUCUGGAGCGUAGGUAUGUGCAUUCAACUUCUGGCUAUGGUGAAAGUAAAACUCGAAGUAUCGGACAAGACACUCAAAACUAUUCGUUGAGAAACUCAGGCUAUCAGACGAGGAACCCGAACUAUCCGACAAGAAGCAGUUUCCUGUACCAUACACACGACACUUGCUGCUUCUACCAGAUGACGCCAGUGGCGGAAGAGGGGACCUUAUGCCUGGAGUAACUUUGCAGUAUAAAAGUUUGCACUGUUCGAUUGGUCAAGAUAGAGUGGUUUUAGUGGAAUUCAGCCCUUGAUGGACAUAUCAUCUGUAUUUGCCCUGUCCUGGUGAUGGUAGAGAGCUCUUCUACACCUCGUGCACAUACCAGAAUCCGCGAGGUAGGCGACGAAUUUAUUCAGGUUUAAAACGACAGGAAGACAGUGUUUUACAUUGUUGAAAGACAAGAAACAGAAUCGAUUCCAGAACGUGCCGUCCUGUGUUGUUUUCGACAGUUGAGGGGAGAGUCCGGUGCAUGUCAGAUACUAUCUAUUGAUUUCAAACACUCUAGUGACAAAUAUAUGCAGGUGAAAGAACCAAGUAUGAUAAAUCCACGACAGACCUGGCACAAGCAUAUAGCAUGACACCACUACAGCCGCCAUGACAAAGACAUAGUUAAACAAAUUAGACAUAAGCUAACAUGUAUAUAAUUAUACCCCAACGUACAAAGUAUAUUGGGCUAUGUAGGAUUCACGCAUGUCCAGUCCGUCCGUCCGUCAGUUCAUUUGUCCACCAUGGCCGCGGGGAUGAUUUUCAUAAAAUUGACAUAAUUUAUAAACCACAUCAAGACGAUGUACAGAGCGCUCAACCUAGGUCACAAAGCCAAAGGUCAAGGUUACUCAUGAAGGUCAAAGGUCAAAUAGCUUAGCUUCAUGUCCGCUCUAUAUUGUCUAAACGGCUUUGAAAAUAUUUAGCUCGACUGUUUGAAGAAUAAGGAGGAUUGCUGUGUUUGCCUUGGUGUCUGUGUCACUGUCACCGUUGCAUUGAAAGUUAAAUUUUUAGGACAAGCUUCUCAGAGUCAUUAUAUUUUCUUACUACUGCCCUUAUUAACAUCAAACUUCACAUAAGUGUUGGUCUUGGUAAGGGAAAGACAUCUACAUGUAUUAGUUUAGGAACAAGUAUCCUAAAUGUCGAAGUCACUGGCUUAAAUAUUAUGAUAGUGCUUGUUAAAGUUUCGUGAUAAGCUUCUCAGUUUCACAGGAUAACCUCACAUAAGGAUUGAUCUUAGAACGUAGCAGAAAUCUUUUUGUUUAGGGUCAGGUUGCUCAAAGGUCAAGGUUACCGGGGUCAGAUUUUGUAACAGUGUUGGUUAAAGUCUUGUGGCACAUUUCUCAAUUUGACUUAUAUCCUGUAACGUUUCCUAGAACUGGUAUCCCUCAUGUCCUAUCCUUUUUAGCUAUACCCACACUUCAUCUACGUUCCGACACCCUCCCAAAAACGCGUUCCAUACAAAAAUUUAUAUUUCAUGUUUCCAUCAACUCCCCUAUUCCGCUGUCUUCACCUACCUCCUCCACCCCGUUUCACCGAACCUUUACCCUCGCCCCUAACCCCCGCCCCCUCCAUACAAAGGAUAAAAAACUCCUCUUCGAUCUCCCAAACUUACUUAUAAUAAUAACAAUAUCUUGUUAAACAUUUUCUUUAUAGUCGAGCAGACACAAUUAACUCAGAUCACUAGGUCCAAGGUCAAGGUCACACCUAAAAAUCAAAAGUCGUGAUGACAACAUUUUACUUUCCCUUUAUCAAAGUGAGGUCUGUGGGGUAUUAAUCGACUUCAGUGAUAGCCUUAGUUGAUCAGGUGUUAGUGACAUAAAUGUGUAAC